AUUGAACGCUGGCGGCAGGCCUAACACAUGCAAGUCGAGCGGGGUUUUCGGACCUAGCGGCGGACGGGUGAGUAAUGCGUAGGAAGCUACCCGAUAGAGGGGGAUACCAGUUGGAAACGACUGUUAAUACCGCAUAAUGUCUACGGACCAAAGUGUGGGACCUUCGGGCCACAUGCUAUCGGAUGCGCCUACGUGGGAUUAGCUAGUUGGUGAGGUAAUGGCUCACCAAGGCGACGAUCUCUAGCUGGUUUGAGAGGAUGAUCAGCCACACUGGAACUGAGACACGGUCCAGACUCCUACGGGAGGCAGCGGUGGGGAAUAUUGGACAAUGGGCGCAAGCCUGAUCCAGCCAUGCCGCGUGUGUGAAGAAGGCCUUCGGUUGUAAAGCACUUUCAGCGAGGAGGAAGAGUGUGUG
rnacentral:rRNA from 1 species